CACAUUCGCCACGCUCCCGCUGGGGCCGGGCUCACCGCGCGCCUCUGGGUGCCCAGCCUCCACAGGCCACGUAGCCGCCACCUGCUGCUGCAUCCCCACUGCGGGGACAGGAGCACUUAGUGCCUCCCUCCGUUCCCCCGCCCCGCGCAGGCCUCCCAUCCUCCAGGGCCAGGCGGAGGCCACGUCUUUCCCGGGCCCCCUCCCCAACGCGGAGAGGGAGGCGGAGGGAGGAGCUCGGCCCGCAGCCGCCAGCCCUCUCGGCACUGGAGCUCCCCCUCCCCUCCUUCUCCGCCCCUCGGCUGCCGCAGCCCGGAUCGCCGCGCGCGUCAGCGUGGGCUCCCCGGAGCGAGUCGCUAGGUGCGCACUGCUCUGCGUGCGGCCGGGUGGGCGCCCCGCCGCUGCGGUCAUGGUCGCCGCUGGUAAGCUGCGCUCUGGGGCUGGGGCAGGAAGCAGUGGGGGGCGCUCGAAGAGCAGGGCAGCUUCGGCCACCGCGGCCGCCGGACCGGCCAUGUGCUAAAGUUUCUGGGGCUCGGCGCCCGCUGGGCGCGCAGCGCGGGGCGCAGAGGCGCGGUGGGUGGGGCAGCACGGUCCUCCUGGCGCCCGCCAGCCCCCGGCCCCUGCGGGGCGCAGCUCUGCGUGUUCUCAUGCUGACUCUUUCUCUCUCUUUCCUUCCGCGCUGCCUCCCCGAGGUCCUCCCUCCGAGCCCCGGCGCGGGGCAUGAGGAGCCCCCGGGUGCCGCCCAAAGACCAGCCGGCUGCGCGCACACCUCGCCAGCGGCAGACGGGGACAUGAGCAGCGCGCACAGGGUCCCGCGCCCGGCGGCCAGCCCCAUCCGGCGGCGGCCCGCGGGUCAACGCUGCCCGGGAGAAUGA
rnacentral:lncRNA from 1 species